GUCAUUCCUGAGUUUUUGCGUUGCUGGGAUGGAUAUAAAACUACACUGCAUUACACACGGCAAUGGAUAGGCUAGCCCAAUCAUGAGCCCCGGCCUGCCCUGCUCUUGCUGAUGUAAACCCUUUUGUGCUGCCUAACCAAUGGCUGUGCUGUGUACGGUGACACUUCAGCAGGGGAGUCAAAGGCUUCUUCUGAAAAUAUUUGUUUAUUUGUCCAAAGAAUUCAAUAUCUGUGCGCGCGGACUAGGCCUACUGAUGUCCUGAUCAGUUCGAGAGAGAGCGCAAAGAUGAGGAGGAGGACCGGAGGCUACUUACAGCAAGAAAGGCUUUGUGUUGGAACCUAUUUCUUCCUAUUCAAGAAAGAACAGCUGCCUGAUAACCUCUUAAUGACGCUGAAGAGAAAAUGAACUCAGUACUUUGAGUGAGAUUCUUCAGCAGCAGGGAGCUCAGAUGAAAGAAGGCAGGGUUUUCUCUCUAUGGAUACCUUGUCUGUCUGCUCUGCUGCUCUGCUCAACACACAGUAGUCUACUCCCCAGCAGAAGAGUGGGCCUUGACUAUUCCGAUGACCGUCUCCUCCACCACAGGAAUGCAGCCUCCCCUUUCACCCAAAAUUAGGCAGCUGCCCACAGGAAAGGAUUCAGUCCAGAGGCACGGUGGAGCCCUGUUUUGCAGAGAGCAUGUGGCAAGCGUUUGGUGGCCACUGAUGGUUGUGACACAGAUAGAACCAUGAGACAGAUAUUUCACUGGAUGUAUAAAUGUGAAGCAUCCGGUUGGAGUUUUCACUCACUACCAGAUAUGGUAGUGAGAGGAAGCCUACUGCCGGGCAGUUGGAGAAGAUGAUAUGUGAGUAAUUUUUGACGAAAUUCUGCACAUUUUCUCAUCAAUUAAACAUUUGAUCUCAAUACAGUUUUUUGUUCCCAAAACUAUAAUCUGUUAUGAACAGAGUGGACUAAGUUUUGUAGACUUUACCCUUUGUAAAGGUUUUUAAAAAUUGCGCUGUUUAGAAGGAGUGCAAAGGCGAAUGGAGUUAUUGCACACGCGCACUUCACAGAGUAAGCGUUCCCUAACGGAAAUAUGUAAACGUAUACUAGAACGUGCCAAUAGGAUAUCACUAGCACGUGCUUGGCUUUGCCCACUAUGACCAAUUUGUUCCUAUUGGAAACGACAAGCUGUGGUUUAUCUUGGUUUAGUUAUAAAAAUCUUUGGACUGUUUGAAGAAAAUGGCCUCCUGGGCUGCACCUCUUCCUAUGCCCCUGUUGGUUUGUCUUUUUGGUUUGUUUGUGUAUUCAUUUUCUAAUGUAUUAUUUUUCUAAUGUGUUCUUCAGCCAGAGAAUGGCCAGUAACUGACAUGAGCAAAAGUACAUUUUGAAACGGUUGGAAACCAUGCCUUAUAUGUAUUUAUUAAAUCUUUGAAAAUGGC